UAUCCUGAUAACCAUUUCUUUGUUUUACGAUUUACCGGCAGAGUUUAAACUGGUUGCAUUUUUUUUUUAUCAUAUACGCAAUUUUCGGAUUUGUGAUAAUUUCAUUCGGUUUAUCCAGAUUUACAUCCUCGAUUUACUGAAAUUUCAACGAGAUUAAUAAAUUUUCCUCAUGCGGAUUCUCUCUGGUUUUUAAAUUGAAGAUCCUGAAUUUUAUGAAGAAAUUCGGAAAAACA